rnacentral:tRNA from 1 species
GGCAAGGUGGGAGAGUGGUUAAUCCGUCAGCCUCGAAAGCUGAUCCCUUUGGGGUCGUCGGUUCGAAUCCGGCCCUUGUCG